UGGGGAAUAUUGCACAAUGGGCGCAAGCCUGAUGCAGCCAUGCCGCGUGUAUGAAGAAGGCCUUCGGGUUGUAAAGUACUUUCAGUCGGGAGGAAGGUGUCAAGGUUAAUAACCUUGGCAAUUGACGUUACCGACAGAAGAAGCACCGGCUAACUCCGUGCCAGCAGCCGCGGUAAUACGGAGGGUGCAAGCGUUAAUCGGAAUUACUGGGCGUAAAGCGCACGCAGGCGGUUGAUUGAGUCAGAUGUGAAAUCCCCGGGCUUAACCCGGGAAUUGCAUCUGAUACUGGUCAGCUAGAGGCUUGUAGAGGGGGGUAGAAUUCCAUGUGUAGCGGUGAAAUGCGUAGAGAUGUGGGGGAAUACCGGUGGCGAAGGCGGCCCCCUGGACAAAGACUGACGCUCAGGUGCGAAAGCGUGGGGAGCAAACAGG
rnacentral:rRNA from 1 species